UACAGAGGUCUCGAGCGUUGUUCGGAUUCAUUGGGCGUAAAGGGCGCGUAGGCUGCGGGGCAAGUCGGGUGUGAAAUCUCAGAGCUCAACUCUGAAACUGCACUCGAUACUGCUUUGCUUGAGGACUGGAGAGGAGAUUGGAAUUCACGGUGUAGCAGUGAAAUGCGUAGAUAUCGUGAGGAAGACCAGUGGCGAAGGCGGCCAACUGGACGAGUACUGACGCUGAGACACGAAAGCGUGGGGAGCAAACAGG
rnacentral:rRNA from 1 species